UCCUAUAGAGCGGUUGCAUCGCGUGUCAUCCACCCACGCACAAAAGUUUUUGGAGGACAACCUCCAAAAACACAGGUGUAAACAAUGUAAAAGUACACGAAGAACUCGACACCAUUUGGCACAGUAGAACUAUGAUCCAGGAUACAGAGUGCUCUAGUAUUGUAACUGUAAGUCUACCUUAGCUUACAGAGAAGGCUGAGUGUACUAGCUGAACAAGCUGAGCUCUGUGUGAAGAUGGCUACCAUAAUUAUGUUCAAGUGAAGGUAGGAGUGCCCUGAUCAUCAUGCGUCAGGCAUCGAUCGAUCAUUGCUGGCUGGGAGGAUUGUGUGGGACACGAUCACCACAGUAUUAAAUUAAUAGAAUGAUGGAGACAAAAGUCAAGAUAAAAUUGACAUUGAUUAUCAUGUGUCAGUACAUGUAUUAAUUAUGUGCUCAGUGUAUAUACCUUUACCGACAUCGUCUCUGAAACAUUAAUAGUAAUUUUAAUAUGGGUCGA